UGGCUACCUGGGGACUUCCUGUCACCCAGGUGCCAGACUGAUUACAAACAUUACAAAUGAGAGGAGAGUCUCUCAGAAGUCAGCUGUAAGAGGCCUGACCUCAGUGAGCCACUCUUACAACGUUGACAGCCGCAGAACACACACUACUAAGGAUUACCGAGACAUAGGAGAAGAGUGCCAAUCAUGUUGGUGGAAGAUGGUGGAAAUCUAUCAACUAUUGGGUGAGACCUUCACAUGCCUCUUCACUGGACCGAUCCGAGAAAACAAAGCUCCUGCGAUUAUUCAGUCCAAGUGGAGGUCGUGAGAGGAAGUGCGAGAGAGCAAUCUACGAUGCUGCCUGAAGAGCCCAACUUUACUGCAGCACAGAAGUGGAUCGAAUCGGGAGGGAGAGAAAAAGUGCCUGCUGAUCCUCCCCAGAGAAAUCAACACUUAUGCAUGAAAAGCUUCUUUGACUGUUAACUUUGUUUCCCUGUUCGUUGUUCAAUAGGAUGCCCUUUUUUUCCAUGUCCUUCUGUUUACACCUUGACACAAUAAAGGCAGCAUAAGGCAGUGACAGAAAAUAAUGAAUACCACGCAAAUGAUAAAAAGUGCAUGCCUCAGAGUGAACAAAUAAUAAAAAGGAAAUUUA